rnacentral:tRNA from 1 species
UGGAGUGUAGCUCAGUGGUAGAGCAGCUGCUUAGUAUGCACGAGGCCCUGGGUUUGAUCCCAGCAUCCCGA